AGCGGACCAGGGUAUAGGGAACAACUGCAGCACUCCAGUUUGAGGGGUGCUUUCGGCCAUUUUUGUUGCCAUCUUCAGCUCAUACAUGCAUGAUUGGAGCAAGAGUUCGAAUCCACGGGAAGAGUUCGAAUCCACGGGAAUCCUGCCCUCAAAACUCUACAUGGGUAUCCUUUGGUGGGAGCAUCACAAUGUCUUUGGCGGGUGUUCCGGGGUUUCAGCAUGGAGUCGGUCUGCCUAUCAUUUACAAUCAUGGCCUUCUGCCUAUUUUUGUAGAUCUGGAUAGUUUCAGCCAUGGGCGAUUCCCCAACACUCGGGCCAGGCUUGGUCACCCUAGAAUC
rnacentral:lncRNA from 1 species